rnacentral:rRNA from 1 species
AGAGAGAGACAUGCGCGCAUAUCAAUAAGCGGAGGAAAAGAAACUAACAAGGAUUCCCCUAGUAACGGCGAGUGAAGCGGGAAGAGCUCAAAUUUGAAAUCUUAAAGGGUUUCCCUUUACGAAUUGUAGUUUAAAGAAGUGUUUUCUGUUGAGGUUUUGGUAAAAGUUCUUUGGAAUAGGACAUCAUAGAGGGUGAGAAUCCCGUAUUUGACCUUUACUUUCAACUUUGUGAUACACUUUCAAAGAGUCGGAUUGUUUGGGAAUGCAGUCCAAAAUGGGUGGUAAAUUUCAUCUAAAGCUAAAUAUUGGCGAGAGACCGAUAGCGAACAAGUACCGUGAGGGAAAGAUGAAAAGAACUUUGAAAAGAGAGUUAAACAGUACGUGAAAUUGUCAAAAGGGAAGCGUUUGACACCAGUGUUGUUUUUCUGAAAAUCAAUUAAAGAACUGUUUAUGCUAAGUUGUUUAGACUUUAUCAGCUAACUAUUUAGUUUUGAGCUUUUCUUUAAUGCACCUUUUCAGUUAACAAGUCAACAUCAAUUUCUUUUGCUGUAAAAAAGCUUGAGGAAGGUGGCUUGAGAUUCGUCUUAAGUGUUUAUAGCCUCUUGCCUAUGCAGUCGGAGAGAUUGAGGUCUGCAGCGUAGAUCCUUCGGGGCUAAAUGCAUUUGUGCUAAGUUAUAGCAUUUUAUAGACAACUUGUUGACUAUGAUUUGUCUUGUAGCUUACUCGCUUAUGUUAUUUUACCUACGCUUAGGAUGUUGAGCGCAUGUCUCCUCU